GACGUAGGAGGCGAGCGUUGUCCGGAUUUAUUGGGCGUAAAGCGCUCGCAGGUGGUUCGUCGCGUCGUGCGUGAAAGACCCCGGCUCAACUGGGGAGGGUCGUGCGAUACGGUCGAACUGGAGGCCAGUAGGGGGAUGCGGAAUUCCGGGUGUAGUGGUGGAAUGCGUAGAGAUCCGGAGGAACACCAGCGGCGAAGGCGGCAUCCUGGACUGGUCCUGACACUCAUGAGCGAAAGCGUGGGGAGCGAUCCGG
rnacentral:rRNA from 1 species